UGAAUACGAGACGCUAAGGCGUCGAAGUAGUGUAUGUCAUACUUCCAAGAAAAGCUUGCACUGUCAUAGAUAAAAAACGCCUGUACCAUAACCGACACAGGUGGGUAGGUAGAGUAUACUAAGGGGCGCGAGAUAACUCUCUCUAAGGAACUCGGCAAAAUAACUCCGUAACUUCGGGAGAAGGAGUGCCUUAUUCGUAAGGUUGCAAUAACAAGAUCCAAGCAACUGUUUAUCAAAAACACAGGUCUCCGCUAAGUCGUAAGACGAUGUAUGGGGGCUGACGCCUGCCCAGUGCCAGAAGGUUAAAGAAGUUGGUUAGCAAUUGCGAAGCUGAUAACUGAAGCCCUGGUGAACGGCGGCCGUAACUAUAACGGUCCUAAGGUAGCGAAAUUCCUUGUCGGGUAAGUUCCGACCCGCACGAAAGGCGUAAUGAUUUGGAUACUGUCUCGGAGAGGGGCUCGGUGAAAUAGACUUGUCUGUGAAGAUGCGGACUACCUGCACCAGGACAGAAAGACCCUAUGAAGCUUUACUGUAACUUGAAAUUGAAAUUGGACUUUAUUCGCGCAGUAUAGGUGGGAGGCGUUGAUUAUAAUCUUGUGGGAUUAUUGGAGCCAUCAGUGAGAUACCACUCUUGUAAUGUUAGAUUUCUAACUUUGAAUCAUUAUCUGGUCAAAGAACAGUUUCAGGCGGGCAGUUUGACUGGGGCGGUCGCCUCCUAAACGGUAACGGAGGCGUACAAAGGUUUCCUCUGAACGGUUAGAAAUCGUAUCUAGAGUGUAAAGGCAUAAGGAAGCUUGACUGUGAGACCUACAAGUCGAGCAGGGACGAAAGUCGGUCUUAGUGAUCUGACGGUACUGAGUGGAAAGGCCGUCACUCAACGGAUAAAAGUUACUCUAAGGAUAACAGGCUGAUCUCCCCCAAGAGUUCACAUCGACGGGGAGGUUUGGCACCUCGAUGUCGGCUCAUCGCAUCCUGGGGCGGUAGUACGUCCCAAGGGUUGGGCUGUUCGCCCAUGAAAGCGGUACGCGAGCUGGGUUCAGAACGUCGUGAGACAGUUCGGUCCAUAUCCGGCGUAGGCGUUAGAAUAUUGAGAGGAGCCUUCUUUAGUACGAGAGGACCGAGAAGGACAUACCUCUGGUGUACCAGUUAUCGUGCCAACGGUAAACGCUGGGUAGCUAUGUAUGGAGUGGAUAACCGCUGAAAGCAUCUAAGUGGGAAGCCCACCUCAAGAUAAGUAUUCUC
rnacentral:rRNA from 1 species